rnacentral:lncRNA from 1 species
CCAGAAAUGCUUCAUUUCCACAUCUUAAAAUGCCGGGCUGGAUUUCCAGGGGAGGAUGCAAUUCUAUAAAUUGCCCAGCUUCUUCACAGCAAAGCAAAAUGUCACUGAACACCUCAGGGAUGCCAUGUGUUGAAGACUAGAAAAACCUGCACAGGAGAUGGACUGAGAAAGAGAAGGCAGGUAAGCGAUCACUGUGCAUAAUUUCUAGUUCUACU